CAAAGGGUCUCGCCACCGCGCGCAGUCCACCUCUCCCCGCAGGCAUGCCGGCCACCUCCCCACCUGACGCACAUCUUUCCCAUGGGGCCAUGGAACACGGUGAGCAGCAGUGGCUGUGUCACUUGUAUUGAGCACACCAAUCUGCCUCGGUAGACGGCUGCUGAAGUUGACCCACAGGUUGGAGACAAAGAUAGUGUGACAAUUGACUGACCUUGACAUGUUUGAGAAUUAGGCAAUUGAUUGUGCCAUUUCUCUGCGCAUUGGUACUUACUUUUAAAACCGGUAGAUUUUAAGAAAUAUUUCCGAUGCAUUAUAGAAUGCCACCAAAACAGAAUAACUCUCCUGCCUAUUUCCAUUUAUUCUUAACAUUGCUUGUUUUUCCUUAUGAUGCUACACUAGACUGCAGUUUUUGUUGUCACUGCAAUGAUGUAUUUUUUGAUUCCAUCUGCUGUCGACGCAAUGCACAGAGGGUUCAACAACUGAAUAUUGUUAUGCUAACACAUGUUUAGUUGGUGUGUGUUUUGUCAGAUAAAAUGCAUGUUUCUCAGGAGACACAUACUGUAGUUAAUUCCGAAGGAGAAUAGCAACCUUUGCUUCUGCUAGAUACCUACUUAAAUUUAUUGAUAUUCAACUAUUUUUGUUGUUUCGGUUUAGUUCCAUCCAAGGCCACCAGUUGGUUAUAAGUACUUCCAAAUAGUGAUCACCCAAUCUUCUGUAGUAUGUAUAUACUGAUGGUAGUUUCUUCCACCGAAUAUGUGAACCUGGAGAAGACUCACUAUGAAGGUCUCCUGACAACUAAAGUUUUACCUGCUAUUAAAACGGUCGAAACAGAGUAUGCAGAUCUUCAGUAGCUUCGACAGAUUUUUUUUUAACUACGAUUGUUUCUGUAUGCUUCUUCUCUAAGAGAAAAUUGUGUUCUAUUGUAGUUACAGUCAGUGGGGGCCUGAAAAUUCACAUCACCAAAAGAAUUGUAGAAUUUGAUAAGAGAACAUUUUCUUAAUAAGUAAAUAAGACGCAAUUACAGUGUGUAACAUUCUGAUGAAUGAACCUGCUGCAAGAGGCAAGUGACGAUGCUUGAUUUUAUUAAUUGUCAGGAUGAAAUAUAAAGUAGUAAGGUAAGUGUGAGCGUUCACCUAAUUUGUUUUUUACCUAUUAAAUGGCCAGUUGGCGACGUACUGUCAACUUGGUACAUUCAACAUGCGUGUUCAGGUUUUAGGAUGAAAUUUAAUCCAAGAUCAUUACUUUAUGUUUUCCUACGUAUAUGUUGGCAUCUUUGACUUUGAUAUGUUCGUUGCACUCUAUUGGGCCUACUUUUGACCCAAGUACAUUGCCAUGCAGUCGUGUGAAAAAGUAUUGGGCUUGCAGUGAAAGAAGUUCCGGCCUUUUGAAGCAACAAUUGACAUGGCUGUACAUACAAGUUUCUUUCUUGGAUGUCUAUUAUUUGUUUUUCUGCUAGCUUUGAUUUCUCUUUUUGGUCAGUUGAAACGGUUAGUCUUGAUAGGUCGACCACUUAUAUUGUUUCGAAGGUUCAAUGAGCAUAUGGUAAAGAAAGGUAUCAAUAGAUUCACCAAUGUAGAUUACAAGAGUAAAGGUUUAUCUAAUGAGGCCUUGUCGCGGCGCUGCAAGUGUUGCCCCCCUCCUCCCCAAGGGCUAGGUGAAGGAGGAUGCAUGUGUGGUUCUUCUGCAGCUCGCAGCGAGGAUUCUUGUGUCCAACCUGCACAAGAAUGCCAAGAAGUCCUUCUCGGAGAUGUAAGCCACGGUGCAUGUUUCUGCCAUAAUUUCCUUUGGUUGGAUUUCGUGGAUUUAGGUGUUAAAAAAUUAUGGGUUGUAGAUGCAGGAUUAAGGACAUGUACCUGCACUACAACGAGAGAUCUUGGCUGCUUUUUUGUGGCUUCCAAACUUGAAAUGUUUGUUUGGAAGUUAGUUCAGUUUUUUGUUGUGGAUUCACAGCUUCUCACAUGUACCGUCCUCUUAGACCUUUAGAUUUUCAAAGAAACUAAA